rnacentral:rRNA from 1 species
GUGGGGAAUAUUGCACAAUGGGGGAAACCCUGAUGCAGCGACGCCGCGUGAGCGAAGAAGUAUUUCGGUAUGUAAAGCUCUAUCAGCAGGGAAGAAAAAAUGACGGUACCUGACUAAGAAGCACCGGCUAAAUACGUGCCAGCAGCCGCGGUAAUACGUAUGGUGCAAGCGUUAUCCGGAUUUACUGGGUGUAAAGGGAGCGCAGGCGGUGCGGCAAGUCUGAUGUGAAAGCCCGGGGCUCAACCCCGGUACUGCAUUGGAAACUGUCGUACUAGAGUGUCGGAGGGGUAAGUGGAAUUCCUAGUGUAGCGGUGAAAUGCGUAGAUAUUAGGAGGAACACCAGUGGCGAAGGCGGCUUACUGGACGAUUACUGACGCUGAGGCUCGAAAGCGUGGGGAGCAAACAGG